GUUUUUGUUUUGAGGUCAGAAUAUCUUUGACUCUUUGUUCUUCCCCAACUAUAUAUUAUUAUCCAAGAAGCUACAGCAAACUAGAAAGGCUACAUAGGUAGCAAUAAGAGCUGCAGAAAGAACCAGAGAAGUCUCGAUCACAUAUCAUGCAGCAAGAAUUCGCAGUGUCGUGGGCUUAAUGCAUGUGAAAAAUCUUAAAACUCGAGUUUUUUUCUUUUUCAGAAGUGAGGAAACUAGAGGGGUUGAAAAAAGGUGUCUAUUUGUUUCUCAUGAAGCGACAAAAAAUUAAAAGGUAUUAAAAGCUAAAUCAGGUAAUGAAGAGGUCCUAUUUAAACAAUGGGUCUUAUAUUCUCUCCAGUUUUGUAGCCUGUAACAAUUCUGCACAUUUUGCAUUGCAUUUAAGGCUAUGUCUUUAUAUUUAAUGACCGAUGCAGAGAAAAGUAAUUAAUGAUGAUGAUCGCAUUUUCUUAGUAUAUUAGUAUUGAAAUCCCCAAUGACCAAGUGAACAACAACAACAACCCCUUGUCCUUUCAAAUUCAAGGGAACUGUGGUAGAAGAAGUACAUGUAUUUAUGCUUUUUGUUUCACUUUCAUUGACAGCUUCUAGCUCUCUCUCUCUCUCUCUGUGCUUCCGCUGCUGCUACAGAUAAGUCAGAUAACAAUUAAUGAGUUAUGUAGAUUUUCCAGGUGGUGUGGUGAGGUGAGUCUCCUCCAUGCCAUGCCAUUCAUUAAUAAGAUGAUAUAUUUCUAAGUGACUUUUGUGGCUGCAAUCUGGCUUUAUCCUUUCGGUGUAUAUGGCAAAAAACUAAUUUUCGCGUCAGAGAGGUGAAAUGAUAAGAGUUUUUUCAGGAUGGAGCCACCUAUGUUGGGGGUUGAAGAGGAAUGUCACAGCAAUGAAUCUGGAUGGACCAUGUACAUAGGGUCCCCCAGAGACGAGGAUGCACAACAUUGUGAUGAUGAUGAUGAUAAUCAUAGCCUAGAAGAAGAUUAUUAUGAUUAUGAAGCAGCAGCAGCACAACAUUGUGAUGUUGAAAGUGACGAUUCCAUGGCUUCUGAUGCAUCUUCUGGCCCGAGUAAAUCAAAGGAGCAAGUGAAGAAGAACAACAAGUAUUGCUCAGAAAAAAAGGUGGAAAAGAAAAAUGAGAUCAUGGCUUUCGCCAAUAGCAUGGAUAAGGCUCCAGCAGCAGUUCAGAACGGCAGCAAAGUCAAGGUGAAUAAAAAUUAUAGGGUGGGAACAAGGAAAUUAUAGAUGUAUUAAUUUGAAACUUAUAUGCCUAACUACCAGGUUUAGCUUAUUUUCUUAGGUUUUAAUUGGUUUUUUUUCUGUCACAAAUUACUACUAUAUAUGCACUGCAUGUGUUUAACUCAUUUCUUAGGCCGCAUUAAUUAGCUGCAGCAUGCACGGAUCAGCGGCUAUUUGUUUAAUUAAUUUCUAAAUAUUUCUACUUCUUUUUCAUGCGUACUACUACACAGUCUAGACUAUAGUUUGUGUAUGUAUGAGAAAGAUGAACACUACAUGACGUGUACAAGGAGUUUGAACAGUGAGUCAAAUUACUAUACAAUAACUAUGUAAUAUUUAUUUUUAGCCAUUUAUCCUCUUUAAACAAGGCUAA